rnacentral:rRNA from 1 species
CCUACGGGAGGCAGCAGUGAGGAAUAUUGGUCAAUGGACGAGAGUCUGAACCAGCCAAGUAGCGUGAAGGAUGACUGCCCUAUGGGUUGUAAACUUCUUUUAUAUGGGAAUAAAAUGUUCCACGUGUGGGAUUUUGUAUGUACCAUAUGAAUAAGGAUCGGCUAACUCCGUGCCAGCAGCCGCGGUAAUACGGAGGAUCCGAGCGUUAUCCGGAUUUAUUGGGUUUAAAGGGAGCGUAGGUGGAUUGUUAAGUCAGUUGUGAAAGUUUGCGGCUCAACCGUAAAAUUGCAGUUGAAACUGGCAGGCUUGAGUACAGUAGAGGUGGGCGGAAUUCGUGGUGUAGCGGUGAAAUGCUUAGAUAUCACGAAGAACUCCGAUUGCGAAGGCAGCUCACUGGACUGCAACUGACACUGAGGCUCGAAAGUGUGGGUAUCAAACAGGAUUAGAUACCCCAGUC